CUGCUGCCCAGUCUUCCCUUCAGGAGGGGCUGGUGAGUGCAGAGAGGAGACUGUCCUGCCGACUCCUAUUCCCACACACACUGCCAGGAGUCUCUGAACUACUUACUUAUUUAACUUUAGGUUAGGAUCAUGUCUUCCCUUAGUGGCAAAGUACAGACUGUAUUGGGGCCCAUCCAUCCAGAGCAGCUGGGGCGCACCUUGACACAUGAACAUUUAUCGAUGACUUUUGAAUGCUGCUACUGCCCACCGCCAGCGCAUCAGGGAACCUUAUCUGAUGCCCCCAUUCUCAUGAAGAAUUUGUUUUGGGUGAAGCAAAACCCAUACAGCAAUAAGGAGAACCUUCUUCUUAGUCAGGAAAUUGAAGCAAUAACAGAAGAAAUUAUGAUUUUUAAGGCAGCAGGAGGUGGUAGUAUUGUAGAAAACACAACUACUGGCAUUAGCAGAGACAUAAAAAUGCUGAAGAAAAUGGCUGAAAAGACCGGAGUAAACAUCAUUUCCGGAGCUGGAUUUUAUGUGGAUGCUACUCACUCUAGUUCAACCCGCUCUAUGACAGUGGAACAGCUAACAGAAGUCCUAGUUAAUGAAGUACUUCAAGGAGCAGAUGGAACAAAUAUUAAAUGUGGCAUCAUUGGGGAGAUUGGCUGCUCCUGGCCAUUAACAGAAAGUGAGAAGAAAGUUCUGCAAGCAACUGCUGAGGCACAGUCUCAGCUUGGCUGUCCUGUUAAUAUCCACCCAGGGAGAAAUAGUGAUGCACCUUUCCACAUUAUCCAGAUCCUGCAGGAAGCCGGGGCAGAUAUCUCCAAAACAGUUAUGUCUCACCUUGAUAGGACAAUAUUUGAUGAGACAAAACUGCUGGAGUUUGCUAAACUUGGAUCCUACCUGGAGUACGACUUAUUCGGAACAGAAAUGCUGAAUUACCAGUUUAACCAAGCAGUUGAUAUGCCAAGUGACAAUGACAGAAUUAAAAUGCUUCGGUUGCUUAUUAAUGAAGGCUAUGAAGACAGAAUUGUGGUUUCCCAUGACAUACAUACAAAGAAUAGGCUGCUCAAAUAUGGUGGCCAUGGAUACUCUCACAUCCUCAAUAACAUUGUUCCCAAGAUGCUAGUCAGAGGAAUAUCCCAGCAAUGUGUUGAUAAGAUAUUACUGGAGAAUCCCAAACAGUGGCUAACAUUUAAAUAAUGUUCUUUACCUUCGGUUCUAUAAUGUAAAUUGACCGCAGCCUCCCAGUGCAAAUAUCACAUGUGAAAAUGCUUUGUGGAAUGUGCUUACCGUUCUUUGAUCACAAUCCACUGCUUUAGAACGAAACUCUUAAACAAUGGUCUUUAAAACAAUUAAUUUAAUUCCUACCGACAGCUAUAAUCAAGGAUAUUUUGGAGCAAGUUAUAGUAAUAAUGCACAACUUGUAGGAAAGUAAAGUGAUUCCAAUUAAAUUACUCCCCUCUGGAACAAUUUGAUGUUGCCUGUAAUAUCGAUGAUGCUUGUAAUUAUCCCGCUGUUCAUUAAUUAAUGCUUGAUACGGAACAUGGCAAUUUAAAUGACUUCCCUGUGAAAAGUUUAGAUACUAGAAUAUAAUUAUGUGCUCUUUAAAUAAUCAAAUAGCAUUGUAUGUCUGCUUAGCAUUAAAUGCCUCUGCUGUUAGCAUGCAUCUUGUUAAGGGCCUGUUUAUAGACACAUGCAAACCAGAAAACAACUGAACAAGUAUCUUCUAGGUUACUCUGUUAAUUAAUUAUAUUAUGAUAUCCAUAUCUUGCAGUUAUGUGAGGAGUCAAUGUUGAACAGGAUCUGUGACCACUAAGGUCUGACUAUUCUAAGUUAGGAUUUCAACCCUAAGACAGAACUGCUUCUUUGUGAGAGAAAGGAAGAAGAAAUAACCAUCUGAUCAGAAAUGCCUCUGGGACACUUUGCCGCUCAAUAAUUUUCAUGUACCAUCUUUCACCUUCUUCAAGAAACAGCCAUAAAUUGCCUGUGCCAACACAGCUUAUUUUAGAUGCACCUGAUCCUUAGAACACAGAAUUGAAAAUCAAUGCCGUUCUUCUCCCUCUGUUUCUGUGUAUGCCAUCUAUUUUUUCCCUGCUAUUAGAUCAUAAGGCUUUAUCUUGGGGGCCUAUGAUGUGGGUAGUGGUGUUGUUUGAUGCUUAUUUUUUUAUCAUCAUGGCCUGUGGAUGUAAUAGAACCACUCUGUGGGGCUCAUUUAGGAACUCAAGUGCAAAUCAUGAGGUCUUUUGCAAGUUGUUAAAAGCCAUUCAACAAGUUACUUGCAUCAGUAAAUGUACUUACACCUUGCACCAAAACUCUGGUUAAAUGUGCUUUAGUGACUAAGGUGCAAAGAAGACCUGGGUUUAGAACCUGACAAUAGUUCCAGGGUCCCCUCUGUAUGUUAU